rnacentral:pre_miRNA from 1 species
AGCCAUGAGCUGUGAAAUAUGUUUGCAGUUUGAGUUUGAGAAGUUUUCGAUCGCUUUGCGCAGCGGGGAUCGAAAACUUCUCCAACUCAAACUGCAAACAUAUUUCACAGCUCAUGGCU